rnacentral:rRNA from 1 species
GAGGAAUAUUGGUCAAUGGACGGAAGUCUGAACCAGCCAAGUAGCGUGCAGGAUGACGGCCCUAUGGGUUGUAAACUGCUUUUGUAUGGGGAUAAAGUUAGGGACGUGUCCCUAUUUGCAGGUACCAUACGAAUAAGGACCGGCUAAUUCCGUGCCAGCAGCCGCGGUAAUACGGAAGGUCCAGGCGUUAUCCGGAUUUAUUGGGUUUAAAGGGAGCGUAGGCUGGAGAUUAAGUGUGUUGUGAAAUGUAGACGCUCAACGUCUGAAUUGCAGCGCAUACUGGUUUCCUUGAGUACGCACAACGUUGGCGGAAUUCGUCGUGUAGCGGUGAAAUGCUUAGAUAUGACGAGGAACUCCGAUUGCGAAGGCAGCUGACGGGAGCGCAACUGACGCUUAAGCUCGAAGGUGCGGGUAUCGAACAGGAUUAGAUACCCUGGUAGUCCGCACAGUAAACGAUGGAUGCCCGCUGUUGGUACCUGGUAUCAGCGGCUAAGCGAAAGCAUUAAGCAUCCCACCUGGGGAGUACGCCGGCAACGGUG